rnacentral:rRNA from 1 species
GUACGCUGGCGGCACGCCUAACACAUGCAAGUCGAACGCAGUAGCAAUACUGAGUGGCAAACGGGUGAGUAUAAUGUGGGAAUCUGCCUUUUGGUUUGGAAUAACACGGGGAAACUUGUGCUAAUACCGAAUAAGCCCUUACGGGGAAAGUUUUAACGCCGAAAGAUGAGCCCGCACUUGAUUAGCUAGUUGGUAAGGUAAAGGCUUACCAAGGCAACGAUCAAUAGCUGUUCUUAGAGGAAGACCAGCCACAUUGGGACUGAGACACGGCCCAGACUCCUACGGGAGGCAGCAGUGGGGAAUCUUGCACAAUGGGGGAAACCCUGAUGCAGCGAUGCCGCGUGAGUGAAGAAGGCCUUUGGGUUGUAAAACUCUUUCGUCGGGGAAGAAAAUGACUGUACCCGAAUAAGAAGGUCCGGCUAACU